UUUAAUGUGUGUAUUGUUAUGCGUUUACUUUUCUACAUUGGUUAGAGGUAUAGGGGGAGGGUUGAAAUCUCACAAACAUGUUUAACCCCGCCGCAUUUUUGCGCCUGUCCCAAGUCAGGAGCCUCUGGCCUUUGUUAGUCUUGUAUUAUUUUAAUUUUAGUUUCUUGUGUACAAUUUGGAAAUUAGUAUGGCGUUCAUUAUCACUGGACUAGUAUAUAUUUGUUUA
rnacentral:lncRNA from 1 species